UUAUGGCAAGAAAAUGACUACCUCUGCAAAAAUCACAUUCUGAACAGUCUUGUUGAUGAUCUCUAUGAUUACUACAGCAAUUACAAGACUGCUAAACAGGUAUGGGAGGCUCUGCAGAAGAAAUAUGAUACUGAAGAAGCUGGUGCAAAAAAAUAUGCUGUCAGUCGCUACUUGAAUUACAAAAUGGUGGAUGAAAGGUCUGUGGAAGCUCAAAGCCACGAGAUACAGAAGAUUGCUCAUGAAAUCAUAACUGAAGGUAUGCCCCUCAAUGAACAAUUUCAAAUUGCUGUUAUAAUUGACAACCUACCUCCUGGUUGGAAAGAUUUUAAAAACCUACUCCGACAUAAAACUAAAGAAUUUUCAAUCGAGAGUUUGAUU